CAAGACUGGGGCUAGUCAGGCAGACUCUUUGAUUUGAAUUUAUUAAUAGAUAGAUGAUUUUGAUAGUCUUAACAAACAGUAAUUAGUGUGGCUCAGAAAGUCUUUUAAUUUUGAAAGCCUAAAAAUAUAUAUAUAUACAAGCCUGAACAAACCAGAUAGAUCUGUGUUUUUGCCAUCCAGAGUCAGCCAUUAUUAAGAGUUUGUCAUAUUUGUUUCUUGUACUUCCAUAAAUGAAAGAGAGACAGCAUUAAAGAUCAAGUUGAAGCUUUCUAUUUCUCAUCCCUUGUUCCUUUUUCUUCUCUUACCCAAAGGUGACCACUGUAAUUAAUUUUGUGGGUGUAUCAGUCGGGAUCCUGGUGGGGAGAAGAUGUCACACUUGAGAUGAAUAAUUUGAAGGAGUGUUCAUCAAAAAUGCCAUUUACACAGGUUUCUUUUCAUAUUUUGGAGUCAAUAAAUCUUUCAUCAGGUCUCAAACAUUUAAAAGGCCCUUGCAAAACUGGUAGACCGUGCACCCCAUACCUGUUGGAAUUUACUUUCUAGCUGGAGGUAGAAUAAUGAGGCCAGGACUCCUGUCAUUUGUCCGUGGUGGAUCAGCUAUGUCUGUCUUUCAUGAUCUCUUUACUCUAGGGCCAGGCUGACUGAGCAGCUCCUAUCUGGGACAUUAUUGAUGCCUGGGUAAAGAGAUUAUCGUGAAGCAAAUACUGGCUGUUAAGGCUUCGGCUUGAAGUCAUGGGCUAAUCCUGACUGACAUCAAAGGAGUGGAACGUAGAAUCUUCUCUGGAGGAAUGGGUUCCCUGCAGGGAGGGGCAGCAAGUAUUUUGAAUAAAAGUACAAUCCAACAUCGUAAUGCAUAUAAAAGCACUUACUGAACAGUAGAACUCCAUGUGAAUGCAAGUUCUUCUUCAUCUGCCCAAAGUCUACCAGCCAAUCAGUGUUGAACCUGAGACUACAACUCCAGGUGGCUCUAAACCCAGCCCAGUGUUUUCUCCUUCUCUGUAGUGAUUCACUGACACCUUUCCUUCCACAUUUUAAUGCUCAAUAAAACAUUAAUUUUAGAAUUACCAAUCAACAUAUUCCCUUUGCCAGAUAUAGGAACAAAUUUUUCUAAGAAUAAACCUCUCUUGCUGUCUCUCUCCUUCCUUUCACUCUCUCUAUAUAUUUGAUAAGAAUUGUUUUAAAGAGUCUGCAGCUUUCAGUUUGAUUGAUAGUUUUAUACUACACGCUAGAAAGCCUUGUCACGUGUGUCUUAAAUCAGCCAUUUCAACCUUAGGUGUUUUAUUUGUGGAGAGAAGACUUCCAUCAUGAACAUUUUUUUUUUUCUGACAGAAUAUGUCCUUAAAAAUAUGUAAAUUCCAUUACUAGCUUUAUUGCUCUCCCAUAAUUUCCUUAUUUGCCUCUGAAUUAUGCUUAGAAAGGCAAGAUGGAUAAUAUAAGCUUUCCAAUGUUUUAUGAAAGAUUUAGAUGCAGACUCUUUGUAAACCACUACUCCCAAGCUCUUCUCUUUCCACUAAUACAGGCAUUAGAGCCCAGGAAACUCACUUGCUGUAGAA
ensembl:lncRNA